UCUGGGACAAGCCCUGGAAACGGGGUCUAAUACCGGAUAACACUCUGUCCCGCAUGGGACGGGGUUAAAAGCUCCGGCGGUGAAGGAUGAGCCCGCGGCCUAUCAGCUUGUUGGUGGGGUAAUGGCCUACCAAGGCGACGACGGGUAGCCGGCCUGAGAGGGCGACCGGCCACACUGGGACUGAGACACGGCCCAGACUCCUACGGGAGGCAGCAGUGGGGAAUAUUGCACAAUGGGCGAAAGCCUGAUGCAGCGACGCCGCGUGAGGGAUGACGGCCUUCGGGUUGUAAACCUCUUUCAGCAGGGAAGAAGCGAAAGUGACGGUACCUGCAGAAGAAGCGCCGGCUAACUACGUGCCAGCAGCCGCGGUAAUACGUAGGGCGCAAGCGUUGUCCGGAAUUAUUGGGCGUAAAGAGCUCGUAGGCGGCUUGUCACGUCGGAUGUGAAAGCCCGGGGCUUAACCCCGGGUCUGCAUUCGAUACGGGCUAGCUAGAGUGUGGUAGGGGAGAUCGGAAUUCCUGGUGUAGCGGUGAAAUGCGCAGAUAUCAGGAGGAACACCGGUGGCGAAGGCGGAUCUCUGGGCCAUUACUGACGCUGAGGAGCGAAAGCGUGGGGAGCGAACAGGAUUAGAUACCCUGGUAGUCCACGCCGUAAACGUUGGGAACUAGGUGUUGGCGACAUUCCACGUCGUCGGUGCCGCAGCUAACGCAUUAAGUUCCCCGGCCUGG
rnacentral:rRNA from 1 species